ACAGCAGUCGCCACGGUAAUACGAGGGGGGCAAGCGUUGUUCGGAAUUAUUGGGCGUAAAGGGCGCGUAGGCGGUUUGGCAAGUUUGGUGUGAAAUCUUCGGGCUCAACUCGAAGUCUGCAUCGAAAACUGCCGGGCUUGAGUAUGGGAGAGGUGAGUGGAAUUUCCGGUGUAGCGGUGAAAUGCGUAGAUAUCGGAAGGAACACUUGUGGCGAAAGCGGCUCACUGGACCAUUACUGACGCUGAGGCGCGAAAGCUAGGGGAGCAAACAGGAUUAGAUACCCCGGUAGUCCCUGUCUCUUAUAC
rnacentral:rRNA from 1 species